CGAGGCAAGUCCAAGGGAACCAAAUCCGUCUCCAGGUCCGCCAAGGCCGGUCUCCAGUUCCCCGUCGGCCGAGUCGCCCGCUUCCUCAAGAAAGGCCGCUACGCCCAGCGCGUCGGCGGCGGCUCCCCUGUCUACCUCUCCGCCGUCCUCGAGUACCUAGCUGCUGAGGUACGUCGUCGUUUUGAUCAAUUUUGUAAUCUCUUCCUUUUUUGUAGUGUGUAAUUUGUUAGCUGACUGUUUGAUUUGGGGAUUAGGUUUUGGAGUUGGCUGGAAACGCCGCCAGGGACAACAAGAAGAAUCGGAUCACUCCGAGGCAUAUUCAGCUUGCGGUGAGGAAUGAUGAGGAGUUCACAAAGCUUUUGGGGUCUGUGACUAUUGCCAAUGGAGGUGUUCUGCCCAAUAUUCAUCAGAAUUUGCUGCCGAAGAAGAAUGCCAAGGGGAAGGGAGAGAUUGGGUCUAUGUCUCAGGAGUUCUAGAUGGUGUUAGGUCUGUUGGUAGGGAAGAAGAAAUGGUAGGGCUAGAUUGGAUCUCUGGUUUUGUAAAUCUGUGGCUACAGAACAGUUCAUUCUGUUGUAAUCCUUCUUGUGCAAUGAAAAUUUCAGUUUCCUAGAUAUGGCUUUGUUGAAGUUUUGCUAAUUUGUGGUCUUUGCAACUUUGAAUCUGGGUUGAUUGUGUGAUGGUAGAAAAGCUUAUCUACUAAUAAAUUUGCAGUUUUUGGAACAUCUUAGAAGAAAAGAUGAGAGGACAAUGUUUUCGUGCAAUGCAGAACAUAUUUGCAGUGCCCAAGUUCUAAUUUCGGCCAUGAAAAGGUCAAGGAGAUCAUCAAUCAAUAUAAGAGAGAUGUAGAAUCACCGCUUCCUUUUCUAAUAAUUGAAAAACUACAAAGAAUCGGAGAUGCAGGUUUUCAAAUGAGUGAAUUUCCAAUCCAAAAGCAGUCUACAAAGUAGCAGAGACUCACAGAAACCAGAAUAAAGCAUAUUUCUGUUCUUGCGGAAGUCUAAACCUUUGUGGGCAUAGUACAACUGAUUCUGUCCAUUUACCAGUCUCGGAAGAGAAGAUCUCCACCUGAAAUUGGGAAUCCGGUUCUGCUCUGUACUCGUGGAUUCGUACAAUCCGGCAUUUAUAGUCGGAAUCACAGAUAAAUCCCACACUAUCGGAAAAGGUAAAACAAGAAUCGGUAGCAGCCCAUUGUUUGUGUAGGGAUUGCAGAUGUAGUACUUUUUUUGAUGUGUUCGAUCACACAACAAAAUCAAGUGAUUUUAUGUUGCCUCGAAGAUAAUCCGAGCCAACCUUCCUCCAGUAAUAAAGAAAACUUUCCCUCCACUCGAAAAACAUUUCCCUUUUUUUCAUUUUCCCCCAAAACUCUUUUCCACGCUGGCAAUCACACCAAAGCGCCCUUGGCCUCCUCACUCCUAUAUAAACCACCCCCUCCUACCCUUUCCCCAUCACACACACUCUGCUAGGGUUUCGACUCCAAUCUCCGAUAAUGACUUCUCCGACUUCCAAGGGCGGCCGCGGCAAGGCCAAGGCCACCAAGUCCGUCUCCCGUUCCUCCAAGGCCGGCCUCCAGUUCCCCGUCGGCCGUAUCGCUCGCUUCCUCAAAUCCGGCAAGUACGCCGAGCGUGUCGGCGCCGGUGCCCCCGUUUACCUCUCCGCCGUCCUCGAGUAUCUCGCCGCCGAGGUUUCGAUCUUUUCAAUUUGAUUUGAAUUAAUGAUUUUUCAAUUCCUUACGACACGAUCUAAUUGG
rnacentral:lncRNA from 1 species